UACGGAGGGGGCUAGCGUUGUUCGGAAUUACUGGGCGUAAAGCGCACGUAGGCGGCUUGGCAAGUUAGCGGUGAAAGCCUGGAGCUCAACUCCAGAAUUGCCUUUAAGACUGCCGAGCUAGCAGGUGAGAGAGGUGAGUGGAAUUCCGAGUGUAGAGGUGAAAUUCGUAGAUAUUCGGAAGAACACCAGUGGCGAAGGCGGCUCACUGGCUCAUACUGGACGCUGAGGUGCGAAAGCGUGGGGAGCAAACAGG
rnacentral:rRNA from 1 species